rnacentral:rRNA from 1 species
UACGUAGGGGGCAAGCGUUGUCCGGAUUUAUUGGGCGUAAAGAGCGUGUAGGCGGCUUGGAAGGUCAGCUGUGAAAACUCGAGGCUCAACCUCGAGACGCCGGUUGAAACCAUCAGGCUAGAGUCCGGAAGAGGAGAAUGGAAUUCCUGGUGUAGCGGUGAAAUGCGCAGAUAUCAGGAAGAACACCCGUGGCGAAGGCGGUUCUCUGGGACGGUACUGACGCUGAGACGCGAAAGCGUGGGGAGCGAACAGG